GGACCCGUAGUUCAGCUGUAUAGAACGUCAGAUUCCGGUUCUGAAGGUCGUGGGUUAGAAUCCCGCCGGGUUCA
rnacentral:tRNA from 2 species